CUAGAAUUCCGCUAUUACCAUGCAAGACAUGUUGAUUGUACUCUGAACCGCUGGGCCACCAUAGGCCUGUGCCAUCUGCCUACACAUGCAUUGUUCUCCCCAGGCACCGAGGACCCCAUGGGGCUUAAGGAGUGCUUGCACCAUGAUCUCUGCUUCACCACCCAGCGUAGGCACCAGGGUGUUCCUCUUUAUAAGAGCGGCCGACAGAUGGACGGGAGAGAGGUGGGGAAGACACAAGAGUUCCAUAGGAGGGAGAAGCCACGACACGGAAGGAGCCGGGAACAGUGGAGUGACUGAUGCCGGGGAGUGAUCGAUACAAUGCAAGCUAAGGUUUUGAUUAAGGAACGUCUGAACUGUCUAGCCCGACGCAUGUUGACACUAUAGCCGCUCCUGUAGUGGAUCGUGCCUUGAUUUUUGUGUGUUGACAGGAUGUGCAACGCCGACUGGACACCGCUGCCCCGGUGGUGCCCUGUUCCAUCUGCCUACUUUCCUACAGUCCUGUAUUUAUUUUGUUCUUGUUCAAAUAAACUUUUGUGAUAAAUUA